CUUGGCCUCCCAAAGUGUUGGGAUUACAGGUGUAAGCCACUGAGCCUGGCCAUUAAGUCCCCAUUUCUUUGGGGUCAACUAUUAGAGCUUUAUUUUGUUGCUUUAAAGGUGUCAUAUUUCCUUGAUUCUUUGUAUAUAUAUAUUUUUGAAGACUUGCGCUGCUAUCUUCACAUUUGAAGAAGCGGUCACCUCCUUUAGUCUUACUUGUUUCUUAUUAAAAUUUUUUUAAUGUUUUUUUUUAAGAGAUGGGAUCUCACUAUGUUGCCCAGGGUGGUCUCAAACUCCUGGCCUCAAGUGAUCCUCCCACCUCAGCCUCCCAAAGUGCUGAGAUUACAGGUGUAAGCUACCAUGCCUGGCUGUCCCCCAGUCUUUGUUGACUGGCUUUGGGAGAGAAAGACCUUCAUCAGUCAUCCUAGCUAAGGAUUUGAGGGAUCGCUCAGAUCUUUUCUGUAGAUACACCCACUCUACUCCUGUUGCUCCCUCUUAGGGAGAGAAGUCUUAGGUUGUAAGCUCCUCUCAAUCCUCCAAAGCUGGGUCUACACUGAGCACCUCCCAUUUUCCCUAAUGCAGUGCUCUGAAGCAUUCAAGGUUGGGCACCUUCUCCCAGUCCAGCAGAGUCAAGCCGGCUGCUCAGAUUUGCAUCUGCCGUUGAGAUCUGUGUACUGUUUGGGAGGAGGGUGCAUGAGACACCAUAUGCUCAGGGGUACGUGGAGUGCUGGGGGCAUGGAUCAGUUGGUUGGGGGGCCCACAGGCAAGUUGUUCUGUGGGUUCAUGGGCGGGCCUCCUGGUGGAGUGUUAGCUGGUUAGUGGGAUCCAUGGCUGGCUGUUGGUUGCUAGGCAUGUCCUUCCCUUCUCCUAGCAGUCCCCAGGUGACUCAGCCAUGCUGAUUCCUCAGUGUUCUGGGGAGAGACACAGGUGGGCUAUUGGGCAGCAUCCUAUAAGGUUGGGGAAGCUGGUGCUCACUCAGCACUCAGUUUCCCCUGUGGGAGAAACCACAGGCCCAGGGGGGCCUCAUUGGAGGAGCACUAGCACAGGUAAACUGAACCUUCUUAGCCUCUUCGGUGUGCUCUCUUUGCCCUGUGGGGUGCUAGAACCUCUCAGUGUUUCUGUGGGGGCAUGAGGGCUGGAACCUCCUAUUCUGUCACCUUCCUGGCCUCUUCCUACAAUUAUUUUUAUGCUCAAAUUGCCCCCGAUUUGGACAGGGGGAGAGCCUUCAGGCUGCUCCUCCAGCCCUCUCACAUGUCCCCAACGUUGUUCAGCAUUUCCUUAUUUUCCAGCACUAGACAUUCUAAGGCUCACCCUGUACUCUCUCUGCUCUUCCCUGGAAAUAGUCAUUUCUCCAAAGAGUUCUGUUCCCUUGGAAUAGAGAAUGGUAUUUACAAACCAAGAAAUGGAUUUCAGGUGUGCCAGUUGUUUCUGGGGUGGCAUUGCUUCUAGGCCCCUUCGGUGGACAGAGCUGGGAAAGAAACUGUGUGUAUCAUAUAUAUCUGCACACGUAAGCUGUGUGUGUAUCAUAUAUAAUACAUCUGCACAUAUAAACUGUGUAUGUAUCAUAUAUAAUACAUCUGCACUUAUAAACUGUGUAUGUAUCAUAUAUUAAUACAUCUGCACAUAUAAACUAUCAUCUGUACAUAUAAACUGUAUAUCAUAUAUAUCUGCACAUAUAAACAGUAUCAUAUAAUACAUCUGCACAUGUAAACUGUAUCAUAUCUGCACAUAUAAACUGUAUAUCAUAUAUAUCUGCACAUAUAAACUAUCAUAUAUAAUACAUCUGCACAUAUAAAUUGUGUAUAAUACAUCUGCACAUAUAAACUGUAUCAUAUAUAAUACAUCUGCACAUAUAAACUAUCAUAUCUGCACAUAUAAACUAUCAUAUCUGCACAUAUAAACUAUCAUAUAUCUGCACAUAUAAACUGUAUCAUAUAUAAUACAUCUGCACAUAUAAACUGUAUCAUAAUACAUCUGCACAUAUAAACUGUCAUGUAUAUCUGCACAUAUAAACUGUAUCAUAUAUAUUUGCACAUAUAAACUGUGUGUAUCAUAUAAUACAUCUGCACAUAUAAACUAUCAUAUAUAAUACAUCUGCACAUAGAAACUGUGUAUCAUAUAUCUGCACAUAUAAGCUGUGUGUGUAUCAUAUAUAUCUGCACAUAUAAACUGUGUGUAUCAUAUAUAAUACAUCUGCACAUAUAAAUGUGUGUAUCAUAUAUAUCCACACAUAUAAACUGUGUGUGUAUCAUAUAUCUACACAUAUAAACUGUGUGUAUCAUAUAUAAUACAUCUGCACAUAUAAACUGUGUGUAUCAUAUAUAUCCGCACAUAUAAACUGUGUGUGUAUCAUAUAUAUCUGCACAUAUAAACUGUGUGUGUAUCAUAUAUAAUACAUCUGCACACAUGCUUCUCUGUAUUGAAAACCAAAUUGUCACGGACCACUCCCAUUCUCACGCAGCAUUUAGGGCUGUGGCUAGCCUUUCCCAGCUGUAAGAAACCUGUCUUUCAGCAUGAUAAACACAUUUACUUAUUUGCUCAGUCCUCUAAUAUGCAGAAAGUAGUUUUAGAAUUGCCAAAACCAUACAACUUGGAAAAACAAGCAUGAUUACUUCAAGAUGUGUUUGUAGCUCCUUCUGUCCUGGCAUUGGACGUGGAGAGAAAGCACAGACUGUUCCAAGUUUCAUUUUUCCCCUUCUCUGAAACGCAGAGAGCGUUGUUUGUUUCUGUUUGUAUUUCAUUUGGGUCCUCCCUCUAGCCUUAUUCAUAAAUUUGUAAAUGAUCUUUAACAAUCUGUUAUAUUUAUGAUGUUUUACUGCGUGCUGCCUGUGAAAAUGUUUCCUUCUUCUGACACGUUCCAGAACAACUAGGCUUUUAAAUUCCAAAUAUUCCUGUUUCACAAUAAACCAGAUGAGGGCCUCUGUUGUGCCACAGCUUUUGGAAUGUGGUUUAUUACCAAUAGAAGUGGCUGCGUGGCUUGUUAUGGUUUCAAUUACACGUGAGUAACAACCGGGGCCCUUCUGUGUCAGGUGCUGCUGAUCAAGGCUGGCUAAUGGGGACCUCGCUGUCCAGAACGGGCGUUUCCCAUGGCCCGGCCCAGCUGUUUACCACUUCUGUCUACCAUUUCAGAGGGGCUUUGCGGAGAUUAAAUGAGGUGAAGCGCUCUGAGAACCUCAGUCCUAAAGAAUAGCAGUUAUACUGGUUUUUGUAUUAUAUUUAUAUAUUCUUCUUGUUAAUAUACUGGUUUUAAUGUUCAUCGUUCUCUUGGGAUCCCAUGACAGUGAGCCUGGUGUACCUGAGGUCUGGGAUACUCACACCUCUCCCCAGUCCCAUGCUCCCCACUGUGGCAGUGCCUGUCAGGGACCCUGCUGACCCCAGGAAGCCUCGGUGUCCCCAGCGCUGGCUCUGCUCACACAGGCAGCAGGCUUAGUGUUCUCUGGCCUGGCUGCACUGACUGGACCAGGGACAGGGGAAGGGCCCCAAAGCACCCUGUUCCAGGCAGCCGGCCAGUCGUGGCCGAGGAGCUCCAUUCAACAGUGGCACCCAGAGGGGCCAGGGUCUCAUAAAGCUGGUCAGACGCCCCCUCUGGGUAGGGGUGUAGGAAGCGGCUGUGCAGCCGGGUCCCAGGUAGGGAGGCAUAGAGUGAAGGCUGUGAGCAGGAGCCCUGGGGCGGAGGGCCAGGAGAAGGCUGGGCACAGGUCCAUCGGUGGCAGCUGGGUGGGCAGAGCAGAGAGGCUGCAUCUGCACGACGGCAGGGCCCUGGUGUGGGAACAGCAGACGGGGCCCCUGGGUGCGGCGCCUCCUUCCCACAUCCCUGCUGCUCCUGCAUCUGCUGCUGGAGAAGACCACGACGUGCUCAGACCCCGGCACUGGAGAACUCCAGAUGUGGUGAGGGCUGCACGUUAGCUGCAUACGCACAUCUGGAAGGUGAGGCAGACGUGCCCACCGCCUCCAUGCCUGGCCCACAGUUGUGGGCAUGCAGAGCUCCUCUGUGGCAGGCCCAGGCUGCACCAGCUGCCUGGAGAGGCACUGGGGGCGGGGCCUCACUUGAGGGGCAGAUUCUCCCACCCAGCCAGUCCAGGCCCAGCGGCUGGAGCAUCCCGUCCAGCAAAUUGUCCUGCAAGUUGCCCUGGAGACCCAGCGUCUCUCAUCACGUCUCACUCCCCUGCCAGAUGCCUCUGCGGCAAUAACGAGAGUGGCUCUGCCUUCUGCACUGAAUGCCGACAGGUGACCAGAACAUGACACUGGGGUUAUGCAGUGCCCUGGUUGAUAUUCUAGUUCAUCAGGGAGCUUCUGGAAUGAUUUUUUUUUUCUUUUUUUUUUUUUUUUGAGACAGAGUCUCUCUCUGUCGCCCAGGCUGGAGUGCAAUGGAGCAAUCUUGGCUCACCACAACCUCUGCCUCCGGGGUUCAAGUGAUUCUCCUGUCUGAGCCUCCUGAGUAGCUGGGAUUACAGGUGUCCACCACUAUCACUCAGUUAAUUUUUAUAUUUUUAGUAGAGAUGGGGUUUCACCAUGUUGCCUGGGCUGGUCUCAAACUCCUGACCUCAGGUGAUCUGCCUCCUCAGCCUCCCAAAGUGCUGGGAUUACAGGCAUGAGCCACCUCACCCAGCCAACUUUCUUUUGCUUCACUUUUCCUCUGGUUGCCCCAUCUUUAUUGUCAAGUCCUGUUAAGAGGAACAACAUUAAAAUGAGAGCUUUCAUGGCAAAAAGGUUGCUGUGGGUUGAGCUUGCAAUGUUAGCUGCGUGUUAGGAUUCAGCUGACAUCUGUCUCUGGAGUCUCGCCCUUUCUGUAAUUCGCUUUUGACUGUAAUAAAUGUUGUACAGUGAAUGUGUGGGUGGGGCCUCUGAGUUACAUCGGCUCAAGGCCUCUUUUAAGGAGGACCCAAAUAAGAGUGGGGAUUGAUGUAUUUGACUGGGAACCCACUCAGGGCCACCAUGCAGUGAAGCUCCGGAGCAGGGGUGUAGACGCCCUGCUUGAAGCGUUGAGAAGCCCCACAGUACAAGUGUGCAGAAGUCAAGCUCCUCCUGCUGGAGCAGGGACAGGGCAAUAGGGAAAGGCUUUUCCAGAGGCAGGGUCAUUGGGACUGGCUCUUCCGGGAGGAGCUGAGGGCACACGCUGGGCAGAGCUGACCUCUGUGUGCGGAUCGCCUGGGAUGGCGCCUCCGGUGGCCUCACGAUAAAGCACCUCAGAGGCAGGAGAUGAACUUGAGACCUGACCGUGAAGGAGUGAGGAGUGAAGUCCUCUUCUCAACAGAAGGAAACCAUCAAAGAGGUUACAUAAUCAAAACUGUGUUGUCAAAAUAUUGCUGGACAGAGAUGGCGGCUGGUCCGGCACGUGGGAAUGUUGGUGACAAGAGGUCAGUUCGGUGGCUCUUGGACCUCCCAGGCCAGGAGGGAAGCGCCCAGGCCAAGGUGGGAGCCUGAGAAUAGAGAUUUCAAGAGACGCUUCUAAUGAAUGCUCAUCAGAAUGUUAUUAUUAUUUUAUUUUAUUAUUUUAUUGGGACUGGAUUGACUUGCAUUUCCUUCACUAAUCAGAAGUUUGAGGGCAAAGAUAAAUCUCAAAUAAUCACCUUGCAUUUCUGAUGAGUUAAAUGAGUGUGUUUUAUGCCCUGGUUGUAUGAGCUUGCUUUUCCACAAAUAAGAGUGGAAAUUUUAUUUUAUUAUUAUUUUGUAUUAUUAUUUUAUUUUAUUUUU
rnacentral:lncRNA from 10 species